GGUUUUGUAGUGUAAUUGAACAUUUUAGAUUGCAAAUCUAUUGAUGCGGUUAGUGGUCCGCCAGAACUU
rnacentral:tRNA from 1 species